GGGGAAUGUUUUAAAGAGAUUUUUCUGUCAGGUUUCUUUCAUCUGGGCCAAGGAACUGAUGAAGCUGAUGGCUUGGCUGCAAGUACGUUAACAUCAGUGAAAGGGGCAUGGAGGAGCUACCAGGGAAGAAGUAUUUCUUAGCCUUACACUUAAACUGAACACAACAUCAGGAACUUCUGGAACCAGUGUGUACCCACAAACUGGCAAAACUGAAGGGACAGAAUGCAGCAACAUGAAGUUAGGACAGACAGGAGGCAGAUGCUGGGAGUUCCUGCAGCUGGCAACAUCUCCGUGGGGAAUCACAGCCUUGGAUUUCUGGCAAAGAUAACGAUUGGAACCAAAGAGAUUCAAACCAACAUAAAGAUGAACGCACGUUAGAUCAGAAUCUGGGGAAAUGAGUUGAGAGAACGAACAAAGUACGUCAGCACAGUGAGGCAGUGGGUAGUGUGUUUCAGCAAUGGUGACAGCGAUGUGAAAGACAAGCCGUGUUCCGGGCAGCCAUGCAUGUUUUCACCAGCAUGGUAUGCAGACUGUUGUUCGUUGCUGACAAAAGUGCAUAGCUAAUGUGCUUAGUGACUUCCAUACCUCACGUAAAUGAAAACUCUGGAGCUGGAGAGUACACGGAAGAACAAGAGAUGGGAAUGCAUGCGUACCCUGUGCUCAGCUGCAUCAGCUUCUUUAUUUGAUCAUAAGGAAGCAUUCUGAAGAGUCACUUCCUUUUUGACAG
ensembl:lncRNA